GUCUCUGGUUGGUGUUCUGCUCUGGUUGUACUCACUCUUUGACUAGAUCGUUGCUCAUGUCCAGGUAGCGGUUGCUGAUCCACUGCACCUCAAACCAGUCCCUGUAGUUGUUGUUUCCACAGCAGCGGAACUCGAUCUGUGUCAUGUCAAGUGUCCUCUUCAUGAAGCAACGUCCAGGCGUGUCCGUGUCCUUGUAGAACUUGAUACUAUUCUUCAGGCCCUCAGCCAGCGUCAGGUACACAGCAAACUGCAUGAGGAAGCAGAGCAGCCCUGUCACCAGCAGCAAAGCGUUGAAGCCACAGCACAGCAGCAGCUCGAUCUUAAAAAAGAUGCCGAGGCUGAAGAUUAGGAUCCCUACAAUGACCGAGAACCAGUAGAUCAUCCACAGACCCUGGGCCAGCUUCACCCGCUUCUGCAGGUUGAACUUCACUGGCAUGAACGGCAUUUUGACUUUGGUUUGAAAGCAACACUCAACUAAAAUAAACAAUCACUCAGAAUCAGGGAUCAAGAAGAAAAGGAUUUCCUUUGGCGAUCAAGAAGAAAAGGUGCAACUGAGAGUGAGCUGCAACUUGUCAUCCCAAACCUCCAAUCAGCUCUGAUCCCAUUAACAGCAGAUCAGCUGCUGCCUCUAAUCCUCCGACUUACUGCUAAUUGGUUUGAUGUUAAGCAGCAUUUUCACCUUCUCGGCCUGUCACAUCUCAAAGUUCACUUCUCCUGCCUCAGUGCUCUGCCGGAGGGCCACAGCAACAGGCAGAACCAGGACUGGAGAAGGGAUGGUUUAUCCACUCAGCAAAAAGGAACCAGAACAGAUAUCAGUGCUGACAGGAGCAGAGCAUGUCAGCGUCUUACCCAGUCACACAAUGCUACAGUCAAUAUCACAACAACUAAGGUCCUAAAUAAAGUAUGAGAGGAAAGACUCAUCUUUUUAAGCAUG